UAGGGAAUAUUGCACAAUGGGGGAAACCCUGAUGCAGCGACGCCGCGUGAGUGAUGAAGGCCUUCGGGUCGUAAAGCUCUGUCGUAUGGGACUAACAAAAUGAAGUA
rnacentral:rRNA from 1 species